rnacentral:rRNA from 1 species
AUUGAACGCUGGCGGCAGGCCUAACACAUGCAAGUCGAGCGGAUGAAGGGAGCUUGCUCCUGGAUUCAGCGGCGGACGGGUGAGUAAUGCCUAGGAAUCUGCCUGGUAGUGGGGGAUAACGUCCGGAAACGGGCGCUAAUACCGCAUACGUCCUGAGGGAGAAAGUGGGGGAUCUUCGGACCUCACGCUAUCAGAUGAGCCUAGGUCGGAUUAGCUAGUUGGUGGGGUAAAGGCCUACCAAGGCGACGAUCCGUAACUGGUCUGAGAGGAUGAUCAGUCACCCUGGAACUGAGACACGGUCCCGACUCCUACGGGAGGAAGCAGUGGGGAAUAUUGGACGAUGGGGCAAAGGCUGAUCCAGCCAAGCCGGGGGUGGGAAGAAGGUCCUCGGAUGGUAAAGCACUUUAAGUUUGGAGGAAGGGCAGUAAGUUUAUACCUUGCGGUUUUGACGUUACCAACAGAAUAAGCACCGGCUAACUUCGUG